CGAAAAACCCUAGUCUCAGUUCGGAUCGCAGGCUGCAACCCGCCCUGCGUGAAGUCGGAAUCGCUAGUAAUCGCGGAUCAGCAUGCCGCGGUGAAUACGUUCCCGGGCCUUGUACACACCGCCCGUCACACCAUGAGAGUCGGGAACACCCGAAGUCCGUAGCCUAACAGCAAUGAGGGCGCGGCCGAAGGUGGGUUCGAUAAUUGGGGUGAAGUCGUAACAAGGUACC
rnacentral:rRNA from 1 species